rnacentral:lncRNA from 1 species
UGACCCUCCAGCUCCUCGUGGUUUCCUGGCCUUGACUUGGUGUUUGGAGAUGAGGGAGCGGGUUUCUCAGGGUGCAGUUUUCAGGAAGCGAGCGAAUGGCCGCUGACAAUUGCAAAGAAGUAUUCCACCGUCCAAGUUUCCAUCAAAGCCACUACUACUCCCUGGGCCCCACAGUGCUUUUGAUCUAACACGUGUAAGGCUCCCGCCAGUGAAGUCUGUCGGGAAACAGCAAGCGGCUACACCUGAUUCGUUAAUACAGCAAGCUGGUGUUUUGGUUUAGUGUGCUGGUGAAAUCGCCUCUGGGGGGUUGCAGCCAGGAGUUCUGCCCCCAGGAUAUAUAUGUGUACAUAUCAUUUUAAUUUAUUAAGUUUUUAAGUGGGGUUUUGCAAGCUGGCAGGGACUUGGUUAAACUAGAGCGGGCAGUCCCCCCGGGAGGUACAGGACCCUGUUCCCCUGGGGCCGCCCCCGCCGCAGUCUUGGGAAGUGAUGAUGGGGACAGCCAGGAAUGGUCCUUCACCUGGUGGCAAAUCCCACGUUUUUAGGCUUUUAAUGGAAGUAGGUGUUUCCCCGUGCGAACUGAGUCAGCCGUAGGGGCUCCUUCCCCAGGGGGGCGUUCAGCUCGCUCAGAACAGAUACGCAGCUGGGUUGCAGUAGUAGGUGUAGACGGCCUCUUUCCAAAGUGAGGAUUUGUACAAGGAUCAUCUCGAAUCCAGUGUUUGCCAGGCUUGUAGUUGAGAAGCUUUACGUUAGAUUAUUGAGUGUCAGGGUUUGUCUUUUCACAAGUAAAAACCAAAAAAAAAUCUAACAAAACUUUUUUCUAAAUGACUGCAGCCUCCCACCACCAAGUUGGCACGGCUUUGCCUUUUCUUGUUAGCAAGGAGUAGACACGGAGGUAUUUGAAAGCAGCAAUGUUCUGUGAGUCAUUCUUGAAUGUUCUAAAUAAACAUUACUUAGAAACAGACAAGCAACUUGGGAUUCAAACUGAUUUUUCUAUCAUUUUUAAAGAGACACCGUCCCGACUAAACCUUCCUGGCUGGACCCUUCCUGCCGGGCAGGAGCCCGGUCGUCACAGCAGUGACCCCGACAAGACAGCCGUUGCUGUGGCAUUGGGGGUCCUGGACACUGAACGGCUGUCCAGCUCCUGCAACUUUUGCACUACUUUCUGACUCCUGCCAUUUUCCUAAAGCUCAGGUUGUGAAACUCGGCAGAAAAAUAGCACAGGGAAAAACCCGUAUUCGACUUCGCGACACCGAAAAAGUUUCAAAGCAACUUCCACGUCAACUACCUAUGAGGAGUGACCCCUUUUUUACUGACGAGCCAGAGUAAGACCCCCGUGCCCUCCAGUCCGACCUCCCGCAAGCUGUCCACCCAGGAACGCCCUCUCUCCACUGCGCACCGAUGGGCCGACUCCGGGCUCCUGCAGCAGAUCCGCGGGAACCGAAGCUCCAGUGGAGCCUUUUAUACUAGCUGCUGAUUUAUACGAACCUCUCAAGUACGACUGCCGACGCCAGAAUCGAUAGAUGCUUAUUACCACCUGUGCACCCCACGCUCUUAACCAGAAUGUUAGUUUUGCCCAUCCUGAGUCAUUCUAAUCUACAGAAAGUAGGAUCUUUGCUGCUAAUACGAACACUAAUUACGUACGUUAAAAACAAGAAUAAAGCCUAAAGAAAGGAAAUGUGAGAAAUUUUCGUUUCUACCCCUAGUAACAUUUGGGGAGGGGGGCAGUUUCUGUGCCCCCCCCACCCCCCACUCCUAGGGGUUAUGGUCAACUUUUUAUUUUCUAGGAAAACAGGAUACUGGAUUGUGCAGAAGGAUGUUGCUGGAGUCCAGACGGAAGUAUGCACGUAACAGAAAUGCCGUGUUCUGUUCCCCCCAAACAGAAAUCGGAACAUACCCUGUUAACUUCUAUUUCUAGUGACUAAGCUGAAAACAAAGUCUAUUUUAGAUAAGUCUAGAACUUUGAGCAGUUUGUUCUAAACAGCUGUGUUACCUGUCGGGUUAUCUGUCAGAAUGAUCUGUAUAAAAAGAAGGGCAGAGGCAUCUUGAUCGGGAAAUUUGGUCCUGUGUGUGGAUCGUGUCGUGGCUAGCCACUGGCGGAUAACGGACACCAGUCUCGACGUAACGGUUUGCUCACUUUAAGCGUUAAAGGUGCAGCACAUUAAAAGCCUCCAUUAUAUUAGUUUGGGGAACCAAGGAGUAAAUAAAUCCUGGUCUGUCAUUUGCCAAGGUCAACAAACAGCACACUGUGUUGCUUCUUGUGCCCAGUGCAGCUGGUGACCAUUAAUUAAACCCGGAGGCUUGAGACGGCCCCCACAUGGGAACCCCAGAGAGAUGAGCAGGUUGACUUUCACAGUGAAUGCAGAUUGGACCAUUCCCCUCACCCUCGGCCCUAAAUGCCAGGCCAGCCACCUGGAUAAGAGAUGAGGGGGACAUAGAACGGUGGGUGAAAACCGCCACGUACAUCUGGCCUUAAGACACCAAUUACUUAGUUCUCGUCACGUUGGCAAGUGUGGUGGGGCUGAGAGCCACGGUGCUUCACCCGAGCAGCCGUUAGGGCCCGAGGAGAGAGCGUU